GUGCAGGGGACGGCUUCCCCGGAUCUCGCAGGACAGCGAUUUCAGGUACAAAUUUGUUCUUCUGUUCUACAUUAGAUCUGACUAAAUUAGUUUCUUGGACUACAAUCGUGGGGGUCACUGUGUGCAUCUUAAGUCCAAACUAUUCGUUGUCCACCACAGAUUUCCAUCCGUUGUACUAGAUCUUUCAUCGUGAACUCUAGUUUCUUCAAGUAAAUCAUUUCUGUGCUGGUUGGCCGGUGUGUACAUCUCAGUUCUUCAUUGCAAAUUGUUGGUUAUACACGACAGAUUUAUAGUGCUAAUUUGGUCGUAUGAGCUACUUUGCAGGGUCUGCUCUAGUGAGUCUUUUGUUGCCAGAUAACUAGCACAUGCUUCAAUACUGACCUCUCUUUAUGAAGAAACAUAUAUCAGAUGCAUCUUGAUUUGUCCCACACACAAAAAAAAGAUGCAUCUUUGAUUUGUUUGCCAACUAAACGGUGCAAAAACUUCAUAUAAAUAGCUCAGUCUUGGAUGAAAGUUACAGCUGUUUGUGGACUUAAAAGAGAUGCUAGUGCGGAAUAAAUGAAGAGGACGUUGUUAAUUAGCUGCUACCAUCCACUGUUUUUUUACUGCUGGUUUGGUGUUUGCGCCUUAAGUGCCAAUCGUUGGUGAUGCACUAUAGAUUUACAUUGGUUGGUAUAAGAUGGUUUUCCCCCUAGGGUUUGCUUAUGUUUUUGCCUUGAUAACUAGCUCAUUAUUUAUUCUUUGAUGUCUUCUCUAUAUUUAAAAAUAGUAUACGCAUCAUGUUGACUUACCUGCCAACUAAUCGUUGCAAAAACUUCACGUGCAUAGGUACAUGGGCAUGAGAUGAGAAUCACAAUUGUUGUGGAGGAAGCGAAGAAUGUCUUGUUAUUUGGCUGUUGCCAUCCAUGUUCUUUUGGGUUGCACAAUGCAAUAAGUGUUUCUCUCCGCAACGAAUAUAUUAGAUCGAGCAUCAUGUCAUGUACACCAUAAGAUUUUGAUGUCUUCAUAGUCAAUGUCUACCGGUUCGAUCAAGCUUCUAUUUAUCAACUCAUUAAAGUAACCCUCUCCUAGCUCAGAUGGUCCAAUUUCUAGUUUACAUGAUACAUAAAACAUUCAGAUAUCCAUCUCCAUAUGAACUAGUCUUUCUUAAUUUUGUAAUCUUCUGGAUAUAUGCUUACAUAUAAUAAAUGAUGUGAAGGUAGAUCAUAGAACAACAACAUAAUCUUUAGUCUCAAGCAAGGUGCAGUAGACUAGAGAUAGAAUGCAAUAUGUGUCACAUACACAACAACAACAUGGAAAGUAGCAAAAAAAAAUUGGUAAAUGAGCUCCUGACUUGUAGAUUAUGUCAAAGGGAUGAUCUAGAGUCAAGCUUCUUUUACUACCAGUUUUGAUCUACCUUAUCAUCUAGAAGAUUAGUUAUUAUAUCUAAGUAUGUUUUCAGAAGAUUAGAAGAUUAAGCAAAGUCACUUGAUAUGUAAAUGGAUAGUUGAAUGUUUUGUUUAUCAUGAAAACAAGAGAUUAGCUUAUUCGAGAUCGGUGAUAGAGUUUCUCAACGAGACCAUAAAUAGAAACAUGAUUUAACCAACAGACAUCAAUGUUGACGAAGGCAUGGAAAAAAAAUCUUAUCAUGUACAUGAUAUGAUGAUUGAUCCCAUAUAUUUUUGCCAAGUGAAGAAAACCGCUUGUAUGGCAUUGGGUGAAAAACGAUCUAUCCAAAGGCAAGAUUUGAAGAUUAUCCAUCCGAAAGAGGACGACAAAUAUGAGCAACUAUUUCACAAGUGAGCUCUCUUUGCAAUAUUCAUGUGCUAUUGUCGAUUCAGUGUUGCUUAUGCUGAGUUUUCAUGUUCUACAUAUGUUAGAUUUAGAAUAUUGUGCUGCAUGGUUCCAUUCUUUUCAAUUGAGAUGGUGAGAUUCAAGAACAGUGCAUUUACCAUGGUGUUUUGAUUUGUCUUCUGCAACGACAUGAAGCUCUCACUGUGGUUGUACCCACUUAUGCCUGAAUACUAUUAUCACUUUCAUGAGAUUAAAGAACCACCAAGUUUCGAUGCCGCCUCCUGAAUUUUGCUCAUGGUGAACUUCCUUCUACAUUUCCUUUUUUGUAAAGAAGAGUUUUGUACUUAUGGUGUAUAUCUGGCAGGUUAAUCUUCGGUCAGCUCAAGAACCAUUAAGUUUGUAGGGCGCCCCCCUGCAUUUCACCCUUAUGAACCAUUAGUUAUUAUGUAUUGAUGUCUGGUUAGCUUGGUCUCCUGCAUUCCUCAUUACACUCCUUUGUUUGUAACAGCUGUAUUUUUCAUGCUGGUUUGAACAAAUAAACGGGGAAGUUAACAGUGUCAUUUUGAUGUGCCGGCUUAGGACAUGUAUUGAGUACAUCUUUCUAUUUGAGAGUAUAACUGGAACUGGAAUUUGAC
rnacentral:lncRNA from 1 species